rnacentral:lncRNA from 1 species
AGUGUAAAGAGGGUAAGUUCAGUUGUUUUAGCCUAAAUAGGUAUGGUGGAAGGAGUCUGUUAGAGUCCCAGCUUACAUUUCUAAGGGCGAAUAUUAAAAAUUGUUUUUGAACGGAUUAAAUAAUAAUUUUUUGCUCCUUGUAUUGUAUAGCUUGUGAUCGAAAAGGACUCCUAAGUCAUUUGAUGUGGAAAUUCUAUCCAGAACAUGGUGUCCUAGAGAAUAGGAGACAAAAUGUGGUGCACUUGGAAAGGUUCAAGAAAAGUAGGUUAUUCGAACACCAAAUGCUUAAUUAAUCAAGGUCAAGUUGUAGGCGAGUAUGCAAGUACCAGUCAGAAAAGGAAAAACAAAUUUUAACGUCAUCAGCAUACAUUAAAGUAUCUGAGUGCAAAAUAACUCGGGUCGCAGGUCGUUCACAAACAAAUUGAAAAGAAGCGGACCUAAAUGACUUCCUUGAGGAACUGCAGAGGUUAGGUUAGGUUGAGGCGGCUGUCGGGGUUGUCAGAGACCCGACACACCUAGGCCGGUUUCGGCCCAUUGUGAUACCGCAUGCUUUGUUCCCUUCUCCCUCGUGAGACCCUAUUUUAUCCAUUAUCCCAUCCGGAUGCCCUUAUGAAGCCUGCGAUCCGUCUGGGACUAAUUGUAGACAUGUCCGAAAUGUCAUUUAGAAAAGGAGAGCCCAAGUAUUGGAGUCUCCUUCUAUUGAGAGCCGGGCAGGAGCAGAACAGGUGUUCCACAGUCUCCUCCUCGUCCUCAUCUCUACAGCUUCGACAGAAGUCGUUAUAUGGGGCGCCCAGCCUGUUUGCAUGUGUGCCUAUUAGCCAGUGUCCUGUAAGGGAGCGUAUGACUGAGCUGCACCUACUCCUACUGAGUUUGCAGAGCUCAUCGGUGCGCUUCCUAUUAAUGUUAGGCCAUGUUUGCCGAGUUAUGCGACAUAGUGGCACAGUUUGCCAUCUGUCAUUUAUUAGUUGUUUAAAAUGUUCUUUUAUUUUAAGCUUGCAGGUGGCCAUUGGCAUACGAAUAUCCUCCUUAUCAUUGAGAAGGGGGAUUGUUGUUCCAGCUCUGGCCAGCUCGUCUGCUAUACAGUUGCCUUCAAUGUCCUGGUGGCCCGGGACCCAUAUCAGGCUGAUGACGAACUGAUAAGCCAUCUCAUGAAGAGAUUUGCAACAGUUUGCCACGGUAGCCGAGCUUGUUGUUAUCGCAUUCAGUGAUUUGAUUGCAGCUUGGCUAUCACUAUAGAUAUUUAUGUGAGUUGCCGCAGGGGUUAGUUCCUGAAGAUAGCUCAAAGCUUCCUUGAUCGCUAUGACCUCUGCUUGGAAGACACUGCAGUGAUCCGGGAGCCUGAAGGAGUAACUUAUGUUCAGCUGUUCGGAGUAGAUUCCUCCUCCGACCUUGUUGUCCAGCUUUGAGCCAUCAGUAAAGAUUCGAAUGGCUCCCUUUGGACCAGGUGGUCCCUCAA